rnacentral:lncRNA from 1 species
AGUGUAAUUUUGAUCAUGGCCAUUUCAAAAGCAUUUGAACUAGAAUUAGUUGGCCAGGUUGGGUUGGGCCACCAUAACUUGCAUGUCUAUCUCAGGAAGACUUGGCUUUCAGAGGGGACAGCACUCAGCCCCAGGAGGAGCCUGCAAUUCAUCCUUAUUUCAGAGUUUGUGCCAUCCAUGGGGACACAGGACAGUAAGGAACAAAACAGAACCUGCUGUCCAAAUGGGGGAACCUGCACGCUGGGGUGCUUUUGUGUCUUCCCUUCCUCCUAUGGAUGGAACUGUGAGCAUGUUGUGUGCAGAGAGAACUGUGGGUCUGUGCACCAUGUCAUCUGGCUGCCCAAGAAGCGUUUUAUGUGUAAAUGCUGGCAUGGCCAACCCCUCUGCUUUCCUGAGGCAUUUCUACCUGGUUGUGAUGGCCUUGUGAUGUUUGAGCACCUCAUGGCUCCCAGGACUCUGGAAAACUACCAUCUGCAUGUACCACUUUUAUGCUAGCUGGCACAUGCCUUUCCAUACAAAGUUACUAU